GGGAAGGUGGCUCAGUGGUAGAGCACUUGCCUUGCAUGCUUGAGGCCCUGGGUU
rnacentral:tRNA from 1 species